CGAAGGGCGUAGCGUUGCUCGGAAUGACUGGGCGUAAAGGGCGCGUAGGCGGCAUGGACAGUCAGGCGUGAAAUUCCUGGGCUUAACCUGGGGCUGCGUUUGAUACGUCCGAGCUAGAGGAUGGAAGAGGCUCGUGGAAUUCCCAGUGUAGAGGUGAAAAUUCGUAGAUAUUGGGAAGAACACCGGUGGCGAAGGCGGCGAGCUGGUCCAUUACUGACGCUGAGGCGCGAAAAGCGUGGGAGCAAACAGGAUU
rnacentral:rRNA from 1 species